rnacentral:rRNA from 1 species
AGAACGAACGCUGGCGGCAUGCCUAAUACAUGCAAGUCGAACGAACACUUCGGUGUUAGUGGCGCACGGGUGCGUAACGCGUGGGAAUCUGCCCUUGGGUUCGGAAUAACAGUUGGAAACGACUGCUAAUACCGGAUGAUAUCGAAAGAUACAAAGAUUUAUCGCCCAGGGAUGAGCCCGCGUAGGAUUAGCUAGUUGGUGAGGUAAAGGCUCACCAAGGCGACGAUCCUUAGCUGGUCUGAGAGGAUGAUCAGCCACACGUGGGACUGACGACACCGGCCCAGACUCCGUACGGGAGCAGCAGGUAGGGAAUAGUGGACAAGUGGGCACAAGCCUGACUCCAGCAAGUCGCCGGCGUGAGUGAGUGGAAGGUCGUUAGGGUUAGUAACGUCUUACCUUUAACCGAGUAUAGUAAUAA